rnacentral:tRNA from 1 species
UGGGUUGUAGCUCAGUGGUAGAGCUCUCGCCUAGCUCAUGAGGGGUGCUGGGUUCGAUCUUCAGCAACACAU